AGCGAACGCUGGCGGCAGGCCUAGCACAUGCAAGUCGAGCGGCCGUAGCAAUACGGCAGCGGCAGACGGGAGAGUAACACGUGGGAACGUACCCUUCGGUUCGGAAUAACUCAGGGAAACUUGAGCUAAUACCGGAUACGUCCGUAAGGAGAAAGAUUUAUCGCCGAGGGAUCGGCCCGCGUCCGAUUAGCUAGUUGGUGGGGUAAUGGCCCACCAAGGCGACGAUCGGUAGCUGGUCUGAGAGGAUGAUCAGCCUCACUGGGACUGAGACACGGCCCAGACUCCUACGGGAGGCAGCAGUGGGGAAUAUUGGACAAUGGGCGCAAGCCUGAUCUAGCCAUGCCGCGUGGGUGAUGAAGGCCCUAGGGUUGUAAAGCCCUUUCGGCGGGGAAGAUAAUGACGGUACCCGCAGAAGAAGCCCCGGCUAACUUCGUGCCAGCCGCCGCCGUAAGAC
rnacentral:rRNA from 1 species